GGUCCUCAACCAGAGAGAAGAAGCAACCCCAACAGCACGGAUGACACCAAGUAAAAAUGUCGAAGACCCAAAUCAGACAAAUUCACGGCAGAAGAAAAGCUUCCGGUAGGCGAAUCGGUGGCAAAAGCGAACACUACCCAUUGUUCAAAACACCCAAUUCCGACAGACGUGAAUUCUGGUAGUCGGGUAGACUAGGUAGUUGGGAGAAGUUGCUUGGUGCAAUGGUGGAGCCGCUGAGGAAGAUGCUGAGGGGCGACUGGUCGUCGAAGUCCCAAGCGAUUUGCUUGACUAGGCAGCCUGCUUUGGAGUUCUUGUUCAUGGGGGUCCAUUAGGUCCAUCGCCAUGUACUGAGCACGACAAUAGCAGCAAGCCAUGGGCAACACUGUAGAGGAAGAAGCCAAGUUUGUGGGAGGGCAAGGCCAUUAUGCAGCUGCAGGAGGGUCAAGGAGAAGGCAUCAGGCUUGCUUGGACAAAGAAUACGAGGUAGACAGGUAUUGAAGUUUCACUCAUCAGUUAAUGAAGAUGUAACGCCCCAGAUCCACCGCUAGCAGAUAUUGUCCUCUUUGGGCUUUUCUUUUCGGGCUUCCCCUCAAGGCUUUAAAACG